UACGUAGGGUGCGAGCGUUAAUCGGAAUUACUGGGCGUAAAGCGUGCGCAGGCGGUUUUGUAAGCCAGAUGUGAAAGCCCCGGGCUUAACCUGGGAAUGGCAUUUGGGACUGCAAGGCUGGAGUGUGGCAGAGGAGACUGGAAUUCCUGGUGUAGCAGUGAAAUGCGUAGAUAUCAGGGGGAAUACCGAUGGCGAAGGCAGGUCUCUGGGCUGACACUGACGCUCAUGCACGAAAGCGUGGGGAGCAAACAGG
rnacentral:rRNA from 1 species